GGUGGAUGCCUAGGGUCUGAGAGGCGAAGAAGGACGUGGUAAGCUGCGAAAAGCUACGGGGAGCCGCAAACAGGCGUUACAUCCGUAGAUAUCCGAAUGGGACAACCCAGUACGUUGAAGACAUGUUACCUAGUAAUAGGAGCAAACCCAGGGAACUGAAACAUCUAAGUACCUGGAGGAAGAGAAAACAAUUUAGUGAUUGCGCAAGUAGUGGCGAGCGAACGCGCAAGAGCCCAAACCUAGUUAGUUACGGCUAGCUAGGGGUUAUAGGACCACAUAAUUAGAGGUAUAUCAAGCGGAACCGGGUGGGAAACCGGACGAUACAGGGUGAGAGUCCCGUACGCGUACAGUAUACUGAUAUGGUGGUAUCCUGAGUAGGGCCGGGUUGGAGACGCCCGGUUUGAAUUUGCCAGCACCAUCUGGUAAGGCUAAAUACUUCCGAGAGACCGAUAGCGGACAAGUACCGUGAGGGAAAGGUGAAAAGUACCCCGGGAGGGGAGUGAAAUAGUACCUGAAACCGUGCGCCUACAAGCGGUCGGAGCAACGCAAGUUGUGACGGCGUGCCUUUUGCAUAAUGAGCCUACGAGUUGCUCCUCACUGGCGAGGUUAAGUUCGUGAACGAAUGGAGCCGCAGCGAAAGCGAGUCCGAAUAGGGCGGAUAGUCAGUGGGGGCAGACGCGAAACUUUGUGAUCUAUCCAUGGGCAGGUUGAAGGUUUGGUAACACAAACUGGAGGACCGAACCCAUUAGCGUUGAAAAGCUAUGGGAUGACCUGUGGAUAGGGGUGAAAGGCCAAUCAAACUGAGAGAUAGCUCGUUCUCCCCGAAAUGUUUUUAGGAACAGCCUCGUAUUACAGACGUAUCAUAGAGGUAGAGCUACUAAUUGGGCUAGGGGGCUUCACCGCCUACCAAACCCUGACAAACUCCGAAUGCUGCUAAAUAUCUACGGGAGUGAGGCUGCGGGCGCUAAGGUCCGUGGCCGAGAGGGAAAUAACCCAGACUAGCAACUAAGGUCCCUAAUACAUGGUUAAGUUGAUCAAACGAGGUGGGAUUUCAAUAACAGCCAGGAUGUUGGCUUGGAAGCAGCCAUUCAUUUAAAGAGUGCGUAACAGCUCACUGGUCGAGAGAUCCUGCACGGAAAAUAAUCGGGCAUCAAACCAUGAACCGAAGUUCUAGAUUUAGCGUAAGCUAAGUGGUAGGGGAGCAUUGAAGCGGCAUCGAAGCUGACAGGCGACUGUUGGUGGAGCUUCUUCAAAAGAAAAUGUAGGCAUAAGUAACGAUAAGGCAGGCGAGAAACCUGCCCACCGAUAGACUAAGGGUUCCGCGGCAAUGCUAAUCAUCCGCGGGUAAGUCGGGACCUAAGCAGAAGCCGAGAGGCGUAUGUGAUGGCCAAUGGGUUAAUAUUCCCAUACUACCGUAUCGAGCGAUGGAGAGAAGGAGUAGUGACAAUUCCGCGCACUGACGAAAUAGUGCGUUAAAAGGCGUAGGUAUAGGCCCCGUAGUAAAAUGCGCGGGGUUUGCUGAAACCCAACAGUACUCGGAGGCUUCGGCCAAAGAGAUAGAGAAUGUAAUCAGACUUCCGAGAAAAUCUUCUAAGCAUAUUGAUAUGGUACCCGUACCGGAAACCGACACAGGUAGUCAAGGAGAGAAUCCUAAGGUGCUCGAGUGAGUCAUGGCUAAGGAACUAGGCAAAUUAACCCUGUAACUUCGGGAAAAGGGGUGCCUCCUCCAGUAAUGGAGAGGUCGCAGAGAAAUGGCCCAGGCGACUGUUUAACAAAAACACAUGGCUAUGCGAAAACGAAAGUUGAAGUAUAUGGCCUGACACCUGCCCGGUGCUGGAAGGUUAAGGGGGGACGUUAGUCGCAAGGCGAAGCGUUGAACUGAAGCCCCAGUAAACGGCGGCCGUAACGAUAACGGUCCUAAGGUAGCGAAAUUCCUUGUCGGGUAAGUUCCGACCUGCACGAAUGGCGUAACGACUUCCCCGCUGUCUCCAACAUAGACUCAGUGAAAUUGAAUUCCCCGUGAAGAUGCGGGGUUCCUGCGGUCAGACGGAAAGACCCCGUGCACCUUUACUAUAGCUUUACACUGGCAUUCGUGUCGGCAUGUGUAGGAUAGGUGGUAGGCUUUGAAGCAGGGACGCCAGUUUCCGUGGAGCCAUCCUUGAAAUACCACCCUUAUCUUCGUGGAUGUCUAACCGCGAUCCGUCAUCCGGGUCCGGGACAGUGUAUGGUGGGUAGUUUGACUGGGGCGGUCGCCUCCGAAAGAGUAACGGAGGCGCGCGAUGGUGGGCUCAGACCGGUCGGAAAUCGGUCGUCGAGUGCAAUGGCAUAAGCCCGCCUGACUGCGAGACUGACAAGUCGAGCAGAGACGAAAGUCGGUCAUAGUGAUCCGGUGGUCCCGCGUGGAAGGGCCAUCGCUCAACGGAUAAAAGGUACGCCGGGGAUAACAGGCUGAUGACCCCCAAGAGCUCAUAUCGACGGGGUUGUUUGGCACCUCGAUGUCGGCUCAUCACAUCCUGGGGCUGGAGCAGGUCCCAAGGGUUCGGCUGUUCGCCGAUUAAAGUGGUACGUGAGCUGGGUUCAGAACGUCGUGAGACAGUUCGGUCCCUAUCUGCCGUGGGUGUAGGAAUAUUGACAGGAUCUGUCCCUAGUACGAGAGGACCGGGAUGGACGUAUCUCUGGUGGAUCUGUUGUCCUGCCAAGGGCAUAGCAGAGUAGCUACGUUCGGACGGGAUAACCGCUGAAGGCAUCUAAGCGGGAAACCAACCUGAAAACGAGUGUUCCCUAUCAGAGCCGUGGAAGACGACCACGUUGAUAGGACGGGUGUGGAAGCAUGGC
rnacentral:rRNA from 1 species